UGUUAUCUCUUCGAUGGCAGUAAUCAGCUGUUAUUAAUCUGCGAGGGCCUGAAUCUAAUGUAUUGGCUGCCCCUAGCAGGUACCAGUGUGCUGAAUGAACUUUAUUCUUCUUCUUGAUUAGUUUUGACCCCCACGGUUUCUUAAUGGCUGCAGUGAUUAUAUUUGAUCUCGUGAUGAACCUAUACAUGUAAGGAAGUUGGUGUGCAUUUUUAACUGGAGAUAAUAGUGUCGAUGUGGUUUGUACUUAUCCUAUUGUAUAGUCAGAGUCUCUUUCCAUUGAUUCAUGUUGUUGUUGUUAUUAUUACAUACAAUAUCAUGAGGUUACUUUUCUAGAUGUGAUACUAUCUUUAUGGAAUCUGCUAUGAUUUGGACUAUACUACUUUUCAUUGCUGUCUGAGUUAUACGGUGUCUGUAAGCUCUCAUGGUCCCUUUGUUUUGCCAGCACUAAGUAGAUCCUGCGUAAGAACCACUUUCAUGUUGCCAUUGCAAUAAGCUGCCUUUCACAGACGUAGGAACUGCUGUGCUUGGAGACACUUUAUAGAUAUUAGCAUGAACAUGUAACAGCAUGUAUCUUCGCCAACGUCAGUGAUCAUAGGAGACACUUUAUAGAUAUUAGCCUGAACAUGUAACAGCAUGUAUCUUCGCCAACAUCAGUGAUCAUAGGAGACACUUUAUAGAUAUUAGCAUGAACAUGUAACAGCAUGUCUCUUCACCAACGUCAGUGAUCAUAGCACACUGGCUGUCUCUCAUUGGCUGAAGCAUUUUGUUCCCCAAUCUCCAACUCUCUGGACAGAAGAACUUAUGUAGGGCUGCCUCUGAGUGCCAGGUGGUAGCAGGGCAGCAUCACCUGUCUCCGGGCGUCAGUGAGAGUCUCACGAUGGGGAACCGGUGCUGCUGGAUCAUCUCUGUGACGGCUGAACAUCCGUGUUCCCCUAAAAUCUGUAGAGUGCAGCUCUAAACGCCAGACGGUAUCUGGAGGCUGUGAGAGGUGAUCAGGUUUAGAUGAGGUCAUGAGAGUGAUGCCCCCAUGACGAGAUUUGUGCCCUUAGAAGAGAAAGAAGAUCUCUCUCUGCACACACUGGAGAGAAGGCUGUGAGGGACACAGCGAGAAGGUGGUGUCUGCAAGCCCGGAAGAGGUUCUCACAAGGAACUGAAUGUACUGGCCCCUUGAUCUUGGACUCCCAGCCUCCAGAACUGGCCUGCAGAUGUUUGGACCCUGGCUCCAGGCACAGACUGCCUGCAGUUCCCCAGACGGCAUCACCUGGCCCGCACAGUACCGUGUUCAUGGGUGGCAAAGAAGAGACAUCUUUCAGGAAGUGGAAUCCAUGUCCGAUUCUCCUGAAUUUCAAGGAAAGAAUACUUCAUGGAACUGCUAGUGUGUCUUGAAUCUUAAGUCGUGGGAAUUUCACCCUCUGAAAGACCAGGGAUGCUCAACAGGGCAGAGGCGUGUGUGGGGGACUGACCAGAAGCACCUGGGGCCCUUUGCAAAUGACAGAGUCACCCGCUGCAAGCGACACCGAUGUGCGUCCUCAACUGGACCCAAAGCUGCUGCCCUCAGCCUUCUUACUGGCAAGUGACUGAAACAGUUUACCGGGCGCAGAAGUGGCGGAAAGACUCCCCACUGAGCACACACGAUGUUCACCUGCACAUCUGCCACACUGGAGGAGGCCUCUCCAGGCUGACUUGAGUCCUCUCCAGGAGGCAGGAGACUGCCAGGGUUCCAGAGAGCCGCCUUCUUCAGGGCAUCCAGACAAGUCGCUUCCAGACCCUCUUACAACGUGUAAGAUUGCCAUUUUGUCUGCGCCUCAUGGCAUCCGAGGAAAUCUGCAAGACUGCUGUCGUCAGCGGGACAGUUCCGAAGGGCACCUUUCAAAUGAGUUCAUAUCUGAGGACUGGUGGACAUGAUGACCUCGUGGGCGACGCUGGGAAACGAGCUGCAGAAGCUCUUCUCCGUGUCUCAAGGACGGCUCAGCGGACACGGUGGAUUUAAGGCAUAUGGACAUGGCGGAAGCAAACCUUCAUCCUCAAACCGAGAGCUCCUCCCACAUUCCCCGGCAUCUUUCUGACUCUAACACUUUCCUCAGAAAUUUACGAAGACCUGGACCCGAAGCCUCCAAGGCUGGGCUUCCAAGGGGCCGUGAUGGGAAACCUGGCUCUAUCCCUUCAUCCUAAGGCGGCCCAACCUCCCAGCGACAGCCUGGAGCCGCUUCAGCCAUUUGUGUGAGUGCGUGUUUGUUUUCAGUAAUGCAGAUACUCCUGUCCACUCUCUCCAAAAUUAAAUUACAUUUAAAGGUCACAUCGUGACUCAAACUUCGCUUGGAGAUUGUGGGAUCUGCAUGAUGGGAGUUGGGUGGCCUUGAGCGCCCUCCCCUCUCUCCGGGCUCCCAGUUAUGUCUCUUCUCUGGCUCCGUUACCUUUGGACCCUCGUGGAGCCAUUGCACCCAUCUUUUGUUCUCCUGCGUCUGGAUCCUCCGCAGACUUCUAUCUUUUUGUUAUGGGGAUGACGUACAACCCAUCAGAGAAGCUUCUUUUCCAUUAGAAUGGAAUAUAGCCCCACUCUGCUUGACUGGAUUUGAGGGGUACUCUCAGUCUAAAAAGUUUUUCAGGAUAUUUUAACGCUUUCACUGAAUUGGGAACCGUCUGGACUCCCCUCAAGCUUUGGGAAGACAUCACCUCGUUAGCUACACUGAAAAAUGGAGAGACUGAACAUACAGUCACGGCCAGACCAUAAACAAAGGUAGAACUCUGACCCACAGCCUGCGGCAAGCUGCCCGGGAAACGACCCUCUCGUGGACAGCAGCCGGCCCAGGAGGCAGCCGCUGUAAGCCAGCCUUGACCACUAUCUCUGGUAACCAUCCAGGGAGCCAGACAACGCCCCGCAUGGCAACAGCGCCAAGUGGCCAGGGCUUCAUCAGUAACUGGCAGCUUCCCUAGCUUCUGGUCCUGCUUCCAACUCCAGACCCACCAGAGAAAGUCAGGUGUGCUCCCCUCACCCAUCACACGGGACGCCGGCUCUAACCGCCCCCGGUCACCCGGGACAACAGCCUCCCUCAGGGCACCCGGAGCCCUCCCUUUUCCACCGUGAUUUCUCCCUCUCUGCCUGCCCUCAGUCUCCGCCACACACAGGUGAUGGCGGCCCGCUCCCUGCCCCAGUGAGCUCCGAUUAAACACCUGACUUGCUUUCAUUUGGGUGGUGUCUCCGUUUAUUCCCAUGAAGCCACCUUUCCGCUUGGGCCGCUCCUACAGGCCACCGCUUGCGAGGCGGCAGGGUGGGUGCUGGAUGUCGGAGUCCCUGUAACUCUAGGUGAGCAGCUCCGGACAGAAGGGGUUACACGGCUCAUACCUGCCCCGCCUCAGUCACGUUCCUGGACAGAAAGGGAUUUAUGCCCACUUAAGCGCACAGAAGACAGAGCUACCAGGGCCCAGGCGAGAACCAUUUCACUUGAACCGAACGACUGCAGUCAUUCCACAAAGUACACAGACCUCCCCCCAACUUCUUUGCAGCUGAUGAAACUUUUUAGGGAUGUGGAGGCCGAACGACAACCCCAAGCCCGUGAUUUUUUUUUUUUUUUGCGGUACGCGGGCCUCUCACUGUUGUGGCCUCUCUCGUCGCGGAGCACAGGCUCCGGACGCACAGGC